ACAAUGAAGAGUUUGAUCCUGGCUCAGGAUGAACGCUAGCUACAGGCUUAACACAUGCAAGUCGAGGGGCAGCAUUUCAGUUUGCUUGCAAACUGGAGAUGGCGACCGGCGCACGGGUGAGUAACACGUAUCCAACCUGCCGAUAACUCGGGGAUAGCCUUUCGAAAGAAAGAUUAAUACCCGAUGGUAUAAUCAGACCGCAUGGUCUUGUUAUUAAAGAAUUUCGGUUAUCGAUGGGGAUGCGUUCCAUUAGGCAGUUGGUGAGGUAACGGCUCACCAAACCUUCGAUGGAUAGGGGUUCUGAGAGGAAGGUCCCCACAUUGGAACUGAGACACGGUCCAAACUCCUACGGGAGGCAGCAGUGAGGAAUAUUGGUCAAUGGGCGCAGGCCUGAACCAGCCAAGUAGCGUGAAGGAUGACUGCCCUAUGGGUUGUAAACUUCUUUUAUAUGGGAAUAAAGUUUUCCACGUGUGGAAUUUUGUAUGUACCAUAUGAAUAAGGAUCGGCUAACUCCGUGCCAGCAGCCGCGGUAAUACGGAGGAUCCGAGCGUUAUCCGGAUUUAUUGGGUUUAAAGGGAGCGUAGGUGGACAGUUAAGUCAGUUGUGAAAGUUUGCGGCUCAACCGUAAAAUUGCAGUUGAUACUGGCUGUCUUGAGUACAGUAGAGGUGGGCGGAAUUCGUGGUGUAGCGGUGAAAUGCUUAGAUAUCACGAAGAACUCCGAUUGCGAAGGCAGCUCACUGGACUGCAACUGACACUGAUGCUCGAAAGUGUGGGUAUCAAACAGGAUUAGAUACCCUGGUAGUCCACACAGUAAACGAUGAAUACUCGCUGUUUGCGAUAUACAGUAAGCGGCCAAGCGAAAGCAUUAAGUAUUCCACCUGGGGAGUACGCCGGCAACGGUGAAACUCAAAGGAAUUGACGGGGCCCGCACAAGCGGAGGAACAUGUGGUUUAAUUCGAUGAUACGCGAUAACCUUACCCGGGCUUAAAUUGCAUUUGAAUAUAUUGGAAACAGUAUAGCCGUAAGGCAAAUGUGAAGGUGCUGCAUGGUUGUCGUCAGCUCGUGCCGUGAGGUGUCGGCUUAAGUGCCAUAACGAGCGCAACCCUUAUCUUUAGUUACUAACAGGUCAUGCUGAGGACUCUAGAGAGACUGCCGUCGUAAGAUGUGAGGAAGGUGGGGAUGACGUCAAAUCAGCACGGCCCUUACGUCCGGGGCUACACACGUGUUACAAUGGGGGUACAGAAGGCAGCUACCUGGUGACAGGAUGCUAAUCCCAAAAGCCUCUCUCAGUUCGGAUCGAAGUCUGCAACCCGACUUCGUGAAGCUGGAUUCGCUAGUAAUCGCGCAUCAGCCAUGGCGCGGUGAAUACGUUCCCGGGCCUUGUACACACCGCCCGUCAAGCCAUGAAAGCCGGGGAUCUGAAGUACGUAACCGCAAGGAGCGUCCUAGGGUAAAACUGGUAAUUGGGGCUAAGUCGUAACAAGGUAGCCGUACCGGAAGGUGCGGCUGGAACACCUCCUUU
rnacentral:rRNA from 1 species